ensembl:lncRNA
AUGUCCGUAGCUCCGCUCCCAGGCUGGGCUGCCUCUUUGUUUCUACCUAAUGUAAGUGUGGCUUUGAUGGAUGACCUUUGCCUUCCGCCAACAGGACAGGCUCUUCCCUCGCUUCAGGCGGGCGGCACUUCUGUGUUCUCACGGUACAGGUCUGGCCUCUGUCUUGGACAAGGCUUGCCUUCCACCAAGUUUCCCUCUCUGCCUGGCCUGACUGCCAGACGACUCCUGUCCCCUUUUGGCGCCCUUUGCAUGGUCAUCUCCCUUCUCCCCCACCGGCCCAGGGUCCCCAGAUCAGCCUCUCUCUCCCUCUCCUCCCCACCCUCAUUGUGUGACUUUUCUCACUGGGUUGAUAGGCUUGGAUGUUUGGUCUUCCGCAAAAAAUGGUCCUGCUCUUCCAGCUCCCUGCCCAAACGGCACACAACGUGGUUCUCCAGCCUCGGGUGAGGUGGGGGGGGGCUCGGGGGUUAAAGUCAGUGCUCCAAACCUGUUGCUGGGCAUUGUGCACUCAUGUCCUGGUGCUGGUCAAGGCCUCCUCCUCCUCCACCUUUGGGCAAGCAGGGUUGGGGAACGAGGUUUCCAGGGCGAUGGGUGUUUCGUGUGUGGAGCAGGGGAUGCCCCCUGAAUUUGGGGGAGUGAGGCAGCUCCUCUGCUUAUUUCAAGAGCACCCACUACUUCAUGCUCAGGCUCUCCGAUAUAUCCUAAUAGCUGGUCCCAUCAGAGGGUGGGUAACUGUGGCAGCUGGCAGGCAAAGAGCCCUGGCGGAGAACUGAUCUCUGUUCAGUUCCGUCAAGUUACUUCUGAUUUCUGUCAAUCUUAUGGAUCAUUAACAGCACUGCCCAGCUCUUAGAAUCAAAAUUAUGGCUUCCUUUAUUGAGUCAAUCCACCUCAUAUUUGGCCCUCCACCCCGCCCCCUGCUGCCUUAAACUUUGCCCGGCAUUGUCUUUUCCAAUGAUGCCUGUCUUCCCAUAAGGUGCUUAAAGUAUGAUAUCUUCAGUCCAGUCCUUUUUGCUUCCAAAAAGGUUCGAGCUCAGGUUCGACUUCAUGCAGGACUCACUUGUUUCUCUUUUGGGCAGUCCCAGCUAUCCACAAAAUUCUCCUCUAACAUCGUUUCAAAACAAUCAACUUUUUUCCUGUUGGCUUUCUUCACUGUCCUACCUUCUCAACCACGCAUAUUAAACAGGAGCCACAAUAUGACUGCUCUCGGUGUUCAGUGACACAUCCUUGCACUUGAGCAUCUUUUCGUGUCAAAACUGCACUUGUGAAUCUCAGUCUUCUUCUGAUUUUGUUUUUUCACUGAGGUAUAGAAAACCUUUAAUAAUAUUGAUUUCUUCAUUGUCAGUAUUAACUGUAACAAAUUCUGUGCAACUUUCUUCGCAAACAGAUUUUUUUCAAGUCCUUGCUACUUUCUGCCCAUAAUAUGGUGUCACUUGCAUAUUUUAAAUUAUUGUUUCUUCCAGACACAAUCACCUCUUCUCCAUCUGACCCAACCCCAACUUUCCAUAUGAUAUGAACUGCAUACCAGUUGAACGGACUGGGAGCUGAAAUAUGGCCUUGUCUUUUUCAAAGAAGUCGCCCAUGUUAGUUUGUGCUAAAGCCUAUCCAGAUAAGAUUAAAAACAAAAAGAAAGUAGACUAUUACAAUUCCUUCUUUAGAAGCAGAUGUAUCUAUGAAAGCUCACAAUGAAUCAUAAAAAUCAGGCUAUUGUGCUUUGGCUUUUAUUUCUGUCUUGCUACAGCUCUGCCUGUUUUCUGCUCCUCCAUGUUCUGUCUUAACACAAGCCUCUUCUCUACAUAUUGCACAUCAGGGCAAUUAAAUGCACACCCAUUUCUUUGAAAAUGCUCUGUAGCUUUUCAAGACUUACAAAAUAAAGGCUUUGCUAUAGCCUAUAAAGCA